rnacentral:sRNA from 1 species
CCAACUUAAACUUUGAAGAUAAUCCCUAACAGGAUUAAAGUCCUCCACAAGCAGGCAGAGGCAAGCUAUUCAGAAAAACAAGGUCAUGCCGCAAUUUUUUUUUUUUUGGGGGGUAAGCACAGGAAUCAACAAAGAGAUGUUAUAUAACUUCUAUUUAUAUCCUACUUGCUCACUAGCUGCAGGCAUACGAGAGGAGCUGGGAAGGGAAUUUAAUGAGCUCUCGGGGCUUGCUCACCUUCCAGAGCUGGUAGGAGCCAGCUUGUUUUUGAAGUGCGUCAGCAAAUGAAACUGGUGGUGGGUGGGUGGUUUGGGUAGGUGGACUGACUUGUUGCUAUGGUUUUCUUUAAUUCCUCUGUCUCUCAA